UGAAAUAUCUCAGUGCGUCGUGUACCGUUCUUAUGUACGGGUUUAUCGUGCGUCCCUGUACACUAUACACUAAAAAAAAAUAAAUAAUAUUAUUAUAUAAAUAUUUCAUAUAUAUACAUAUGCAUGCACGCAUAAGAAAACAGGAACUGCAAUAGACCGGAUCCUAUUUGAAACAGGCUCACGAGAAUUAAAAAAAAAUAAAUUAAAAUAAAAUAAAAACGAAAAGUUGAUGUGUUUGUGUGUGUUUAUUUUAUCCGAAAAAUUGUGUGCUUUCUUGUGUCCUCACCUCACAAAUACUAUAUAACUCUUAAUGGAUUAUCUCUAAAUCACGACAAAGAUUUGACUGCCGAUGGUGCUAAUGAGGGUCCGGGGGCACCAUGGAAAGCUGACCAUGGGGUAAUUCGAAAACCUCCUCCCCCGACAACAACAACAACAAAAACAA